AGUCGAGGGGUAUAGUAGCAAUACUAGAGACCGGCGCACGGGUGCGUAACGCGUAUGCAAUCUACCUUUUACAGCGGGAUAGCCCAGAGAAAUUUGGAUUAAUACCUCAUAGUAUAACACAAUCGCAUGAUUGCGUUAUUAAAGUCACAACGGUAAAAGAUGAGCAUGCGUCCCAUUAGCUAGUUGGUAAGGUAACGGCUUACCAAGGCGACGAUGGGUAGGGGUCCUGAGAGGGAGAUCCCCCACACUGGUACUGAGACACGGACCAGACUCCUACGGGAGGCAGCAGUGAGGAAUAUUGGACAAUGGGCGCAAGCCUGAUCCAGCCAUGCCGCGUGCAGGAAGACGGUCCUAUGGAUUGUAAACUGCUUUUAUACGGGAAGAAACACCGGUUCGUGAACCGGCUUGACGGUACCGUAAGAAUAAGGAUCGGCUAACUCCGUGCCAGCAGCCGCGGUAAUACGGAGGAUCCAAGCGUUAUCCGGAAUCAUUGGGUUUAAAGGGUCCGUAGGCGGUCAGAUAAGUCAGUGGUGAAAUCCCAUCGCUCAACGGUGGAACGGCCAUUGAUACUGUCUGACUUGAAUUAUUAGGAAGUAACUAGAAUAUGUAGUGUAGCGGUGAAAUGCUUAGAGAUUACAUGGAAUACCAAUUGCGAAGGCAGGUUACUACUAAUGGAUUGACGCUGAUGGACGAAAGCGUGGGUAGCGAACAGGAUUAGAUACCCUGGUAGUCCACGCCGUAAACGAUGGAUACUAGCUGUUGGGCGCAAGUUCAGUGGCUAAGCGAAAGUGAUAAGUAUCCCACCUGGGGAGUACGUUCGCAAGAAUGAAACUCAAAGGAAUUGACGGGGGCCCGCACAAGCGGUGGAGCAUG
rnacentral:rRNA from 1 species